GGCAGAUGGUUUGUUUUGAUUAGUUACUUGAACCUGUAGAGCAAAUAUGUGAUGGUGGUUCAUUUAUUUAAUCAUCAUUUCACUUAUAGUUCCCAUUAUUUAACUAGGAUGGGUCCUUGAGAAUGAAACCCGACCAAAAUGAAGGCAUAAUAUGUGCAUGUGUAUUUAAGGCAGCAUGUCUCCUUAGUCUGAAGUGAAGUUUCAAGUGAUAAUAGACUUGCUUGCCCUUCACGCUUCUCCUCCACCACAGCACUGUUGAUAAUUCCAUUCGUGACUCAUUCUGUGUUGUUUUUCUUACAGUCAGAACGUUCCUCCUGACUCACCACUACUAGGACUUCGACGGGGGAAGACAACAGUGCUAAUCUGAGCAGAUUUCCUGUCCGUUGUGUUGGAACCGAGUGCUGCUUGGCGUGGAUGCUUCAAAUGCAUUCGAAUUCAAUCGGAAUCAAGCAACAAAGCGACCAGCGUUCCUCCUGGGGGAUCCUGAGGCAUCUCCAGGCUAGAUGAGAUACAUAUAAUCCGUACGGUGAGUUCUGGUUCUACCCGAGCGUCUCCUCCUAGCUGGACGUUCCUGGAAAACCUCCAAAAGAAGUAGCCCAGAAAGCAUCCUAAUCAGCGGCGUGAACCACCUCAACUGUUCAGGAUGCUGACAGAUCAAGUGGUGGACGUCCAGAGAGGAGAGAUGUGAGAGAUCAAGUGGUGGACGUCCAUAGAGCAGAGAUCCUGAGAGAUCAAGUGGUGGACGUCCAGAGAGGAGAGGAGGUUCACAGAGAUGAGUUGCAACAAGAAAACGUUAUGCAUGGUGUCAGAGAUUUGCCGUAGAAGCAGAGCUUCUUCUUCUUCUUCUUCUUCUUCUUCUUCUUCUUCUUCUUCUUCUUCUUCUUCUUCUUCUUCUUCUUCUUCUUCUUCUUCUUCUUCUUCUUCUUCUUCUUCUUCUUCUUCUUCUUCUUCUUCUUCUUCUUAAUGGAAUUUCACCUAAAUAAAAAAAAAAAAAAAAAAAAAAGAGUCCAAACUGCAUUGUCGUCAAUUUUUCUGAAAAACAAAGAGUAAAGUGUGAAGAGAGAGAAAAGUAGGAAAGAGGAAAAGAGUAAAGUGUGAGAAAAAAGCAAAGAGAGAAGAGAGGAAAAAGAAGAAAGUUUAAGGAAAGAACAAAGAGAAAAAGAACAAAGUGUGGAAAAAGAACAAAGUGUGAAAAUAGCAAAGUAAGAGGAAAGAGGAAAAUAGGAAAGUGUGAAAAUAGCAAAGUGUGAAAAAAGAGGAAAGAGAGUAAAGAGGAAAAAGAACAAAGUGUGAAAAUAGCAAAGUGUGAGAAAAGAGCAAAGUGUGAGAAAAUAGCAAAGUAAGAGGAAAAUAGCAAAGUGUGAGAAAAGAGGAAAAAGAACAAAGUGUGAAAAUAGCAAAGUAAGAGGAAAGAGGAAAAAGAACAAAGUGCUGCUUUACUCUUGUGUUUGUUUGUUUCAGAUGCUGAGAGAGCAAGCGGUGGAUGUUCAUAGAGGAGAGGUGAGUUAUACAUUGUCACACAUUGCACACAGUAGACUUUAGUAUCAAACCAAGAGUUGUAGUAUGAGCAGCAGGAGACAAUUGAAGGCUUCAAUGAUUUUGGUGACACUACAAUGUAUGAGAGUGAAAUUAUUGAAUUGUAUGACUAAGAAAAUAACAAUACUAAAAUAACGAAAAUAUCUUAAAAUUCAGAUUUUUUGAUUUAGUUUCAAACCAAGAGUUGUAGUAUGAGCAGCAGGAGACAAUUGAAGGCUUCAAUGAUUUUGGUGACGCUAAAGUAAACAAGAGUGAAGUUAAUGAAUUUAUUACUAAUAAAACAUACUAAGAUAAUGAAAAUUUAUUUAAAUUCAGAUUUUUUAUUUAUUAUGAAACCAAGAGUUGUAGUAUGACCAGCAGGAGACAAUUGAAGGCUUCAAUGAUUUUUGUGACGCUACAAUAUAUAUGAGUGAAGUUAUUGAAUUUAUUACUAAUAAAAGGUACUAAGAUAAUGACAAAAUCUUAAAAUUCAGAUUUUGUGUUUAUUAUGAAACCAAGAGUUGUAGUAUGACCAGCAGGAGACAAUUGAAGGCUUCAAUGAUUUUGGUGACACUGCAGUAAACAAGAGUGAAGUUAUUGAAUUUUAUUGCAAAUAAAAGAAUAUUAAAAUCAUGAAAAUUCCUUAAAAUUAAGAUGUUGUAUUUAGUGUCAAACCAAGAGUUGUACUAUGACCACCAGGAGACAAUUGAAGGCUCCACUGAUUUUGGUGACACUACAAUGUAUGAGAGUGAAAUUAUUGAAUUGUAUGACUAAGAAAAUAACAAUACUAAAAUAACAAAAAUAUCUUAAAAUUCAGAUUUUUUGAUUUAGUUUCAAACCAAGAGUUGUAGUAUGACCAGCAGGAGACAAUUGAAGGCUCCAGUGAUUUUGGUGACGCUAAAGUAAACAAGAGUGAAGUUAAUGAAUUUAUUACUAAUAAAACAUACUAAGAUAAUGAAAAUUUAUUUAAAUUCAGAUUUUUUAUUUAUUAUGAAACCAAGAGUUGUAGUAUGAGCAGCAGGAGACAAUUGAAGGCUUCAAUGAUUUUGGUGACACUACAGUAAAGAAGAGUGAAGUUAUUGAAUUUUAUUGCAAAUAAAAGAAUAUUAAAAUCAUGAAAAUUCCUUAAAAUUCAGAUGUAUUUAGUGUCAAACCAAGAGUUGUAGUAUGAGCAGCAGGAGACAAUUGAAGGCUUCAAUGAUUUUGGUGACACUACAGUAAACAAGAGUGAAGUUAUUGAAUUUUAUUACAAAUAAAAGAAUAUUAAAAUCAUGAAAAUUUCUGAAAAUUGAGAUUUUUUCAUUUAGUUUCAAACCAAGAGUUGUAGUAUGACCAGCAGGAGACAAUUGAAGGCUCCAUUGAUUUUGGUGACAUUACAAUAUAUAAGAGUGAAGUUAUUGAAUUUAUUACAAAUAAAACAAUACUAAAAUAAUGACAAAAUCUUAAAAUUCAGAUUUUGUAUUUAGUGUCAAACCAAGAGUUGUAGUAUGAGCAGCAGGAGACAAUUGAAGGCUUCAAUGAUUUUGGUGACGCUAAAGUAAACAAGAGUGAAGUUAAUGAAUUUAUUACUAAUAAAACAUACUAAGAUAAUGAAAAUUUAUUUAAAUUCAGAUUUUUUAUUUAUUAUGAAACCAAGAGUUGUAGUAUGACCAGCAGGAGACAAUUGAAGGCUUCAAUGAUUUUGGUGACACUACAGUAAACAAGACUGAAGUUAUUGAAUUUAUUACUAAUAAAAUAUAUUAAGAUUACUAAAAUAUCUUAAAAUUCAGAUUUUUUCAUUUAGUUUCAAACCAAGAGUUGUAGUAUGACCAGCAGGAGACAAUUGAAGGCUCCAUUGAUUUUGGUGACACUACAAUAUAUUGGAGUGAAGUUAUUGAAUUUAUUACUAAUAAAACAAUACUAAAAUAAUGACAAAAUCUUAAAAUUCAGAUUUUGUAUUUAGUGUCAAACCAAGAGUUGUAGUAUGACCAGCAGGAGACAAUUGAAGGCUUUAAUGAUUUUGGUGACGCUAAAGUAAACAAGAGUGAAGUUAUAGAAUUUAUUACUAAUAAAACAAUACUAAAAUAAUGAAAAUUUCUUAAAAUUCAGAUUUUGUAUUGAGUGUCAAACCAAGAGUUGUAGUAUGAGCAGCAGGAGACAAUUGAAGGCUUCAAUGAUUUUGGUGACGCUAAAGUAAACAAGAGUGAAGUUAAUGAAUUUAUUACGAAUAAAACAUACUAAGAUAAUGAAAAUUUAUUUAAAUUCAGAUUUUUUUAUUUAUUAUGAAACCAAGAGUUGUAGUAUGACCAGCAGGAGACAAUUGAAGGCUUCAAUGAUUUUGGUGACACUGCAGUAAACAAGACUGAAGUUAUUGAAUUUUAUUGCAAAUAAAAGAAUAUUAAAAUCAUGAAAAUUCCUUAAAAUUCAGAUUUUUUGAUUUAGUUUCAAACCAAGAGUUGUAGUAUGAGCAGCAGGAGACAAUUGAAGGCUCCAGUGAUUUUUGUGACACUGCAGUAAACAAGAGUGAAGUUAUUUAAUUUAUUACUAAUAAAACAUACUAAGAUAAUGAAAAAUUCUUUAAAUUCAGAUUUUUUGAUUUAGUUUCAAACCAGGAGUUGUAGUAUGACCAGCAGGAGACAAUUGAAGGCUCCAAUGAUUUUUGUGACACUACAGUAAACAAGACUGAAGUUAUUGAAUUUUAUUACAAAUAAAAGAAUAAUAAAAUCAUGAAAAUUUCUUAAAAUUCAGAUGUUGCAAUUAGUGUCAAACCAAGAGUUGUAGUAUGACCAGCAGGAGACAAUUGAAGGCUUCAAUGAUUUUGGUGACGCUAAAGUAAACAAGACUGAAGUUAUCUAAUUUUAUUACAAAUAAAAGAAUAUUAAAAUCAGGAAAAUUCCUUAAAAUUCAGAUUUUGUAUUUAGUGUCAAACCAAGAGUUGUAGUAUGAGCAGCAGGAGACAAUUGAAGGCUCCAUUGAUUUUGGUGACACUACAAUAUAUAAGAGUGAAGUUAUUGAAUUUAUUACUAAUAAAACAAUACUAAAAUAAUGACAAAAUCUUAAAAAUCAGAUUUUGUAAUUUAUUAUGAAACCAAGAGUUGUAGUAUGAGCAGCAGGAGACAAUUGAAGGCUUCAAUGAUUUUGGUGACACUACAGUAAACAAGACUGAAGUUAUUGAAUUUUAUUACAAAUAAAAGAAUAAUAAAAUCAUGAAAAUUCCUUAAAAUUCAGAUUUUUUGAUUUAGUUUCAAACCAAGAGUUGUAGUAUGACCAGCAGGAGACAAUUGAAGGCUCCAAUGAUUUUGGUGACGGUACAGUAAACAAGAGUGAAGUUAUUGAAUUUAUUACUAAUCAAACAAUCCUAAAAUAACAAAAAUAUCUUAAAAUUCAGAUGUUGUAUUUAGUGUCAAACCAGGAGUUGUAGUAUGACCAGCAGGAGACAAUUGAAGGCUUCAAUGAUUUUGGUGACACUACAAUGUAUGAGAGUGAAAUUAUUGAAUUUUAUGACUAAGAAAAUAACAAUAUUAAAAUCACGAAAAUAUCUUAAAAUUCAGAUUUUUUGAUUUAGUUUCAAACCAAGAGUUGUAGUAUGACCAGCAGGAGACAAUUGAAGGCUUCAAUGAUUUUGGUGAAACUACAGUAAACAAGACUGAAGUUAUUGAAUUUUAUUACAAAUAAAAGAAUACUAAAAUCAUGAAAAUUCCUUAAAAUUCAGAUUUUUUCAUUUAGUGUCAAACCAAGAGUUGUAGUAUGAGCAGCAGGAGACAAUUGAAGGCUUCAAUGAUUUUGGUGACGCUAAAGUAAACAAGAGUGAAGUUAAUGAAUUUAUUACUAAUAAAACAUACUAAGAUAAUGAAAAUUUAUUUAAAUUCAGAUUUUUUAUUUAUUAUGAACCCAAGAGUUGUAGUAUGACCAGCAGGAGACAAUUGAAGGCUUCAAUGAUUUUGGUGACACUGCAGUAAACAAGAGUGAAGUUAUUUAAUUUAUUACUAAUAAAACAUACUAAGAUAAUGAAAAAUUCUUUAAAUUCAGAUUUUUUGAUUUAUUUUCAAACCAGUAGUUGUAGUAUGACCAGCAGGAGACAAUUGAAGGCUUCAAUGAUUUUGGUGACGCUAAAGUAAACAAGAGUGAAGUUAUUGAAUUUAUUACUAAUAAAACAAUACUAAAAUAAUGAAAAUUUCUUAAAAUUCAGAUUUUGUAUUUAGUGUCAAACCAAGAGUUGUAGUAUGAGCAGCAGGAGACAAUUGAAGGCUUCAAUGAUUUUGGUGACACUACAGUAAACAAGACUGAAGUUAUUGAAUUUAUUACUAAUAAAAUAUAUUAAGAUUACGAAAAUAUCUUAAAAUUCAGAUUUUUUCAUUUAGUUUCAAACCAAGAGUUGUAGUAUGACCAGCAGGAGACAAUUGAAGGCUCCAUUGAUUUUGGUGACACUACAAUAUAUAAGAGUCAAGUUAUUGAAUUUAUUACGAAUAAAACAAUACUAAAAUAAUGAAAAUUUCUUAAAAUUCAGAUUUUGUAUUUAGUUUCAAACCAAGAGUUGUAGUAUGACCAGCAGGAGACAAUUGAAGGCUCCAGUGAUUUUGGUGACACUGCAGUAAACAAGAGUGAAAUUAUUGAAUUUUAUGACUAAUAAAAUAACAAUAUUAAAAUCAUGAAAAUUCCUUAAAAUUCAGAUUUUGUAUCCAGUGUCAAACCAAGAGUUGUAGUAUGACCAGCAGGAGACAACUGAAGGCUUCAAUGAUUUUGGUGACACUACAAUGUAUGAGAGUGAAAUUAUUGAAUUGUAUGACUAAGAAAAUAACAAUACUAAAAUAACGAAAAUAUCUUAAAAUCCUGAUUUUUUGAUUUAGUGUCAAACCAAGAGUUGUAGUAUGACCAGCAGGAGACAAUUGAAGGCUUCAAUGAUUUUGGUGACGCUAAAGUAAACAAGAGUGAAGUUAAUGAAUUUAUUACUAAUAAAACAUACUAAGAUAAUGAAAAUUUAUUUAAAUUUAGAUUUUUUAUUUAUUAUGAACCCAAGAGUUGUAGUAUGACCAGCAGGAGACAAUUGAAGGCUUCAAUGAUUUUGGUGACGCUAAAGUAAACAAGACUGAAGUUAUUGAAUUUUAUUGCAAAUAAAAGAAUAUUAAAAUCAGGAAAAUUCCUUAAAAUUCAGAUUUUGUAUUUAGUGUCAAACCAAGAGUUGUAGUAUGAGCAGCAGGAGACAAUUGAAGGCUCCAUUGAUUUUGGUGACACUACAAUAUAUAAGAGUGAAGUUAUUGAAUUUAUUACUAAUAAAACAAUACUAAAAUAAUGACAAAAUCUUAAAAAUCAGAUUUUGUAAUUUAUUAUGAAACCAAGAGUUGUAGUAUGAGCAGCAGGAGACAAUUGAAGGCUUCAAUGAUUUUGGUGACACUACAGUAAACAACAGUGAAGUUAUUGAAUUUAUUACUAAUAAAAUAUACUAAGAUAACGAAAAUAUCUUAAAAUUCAGAUUUUGUAUUUAGUCUCAAACCAAGAGUUGUAGUAUGACCAGCAGGAGACAAUUGAAGGCUUCAAUGAUUUUGGUGACACUACAAUGUAUGAGAGUGAAAUUAUUGAAUUGUAUGACUAAGAAAAUAACAAUACUAAAAUAACGAAAAUAUCUUACAUUUCAGAUUUUUUGAUUGAGUUUCAAACCAAGAGUUGUAGUAUUACCAGCAGGAGACAAUUGAAGGCUUCAAUGAUAUUUGUGACACUACAGUAAACAAGACUGAAGUUAUUGAAUUUCUUACUAAUAAAAUAUAUUAAGAUAACGAAAAUAUCUUAAAAUUCAGAUUUUUUUAUUUAGUUUCAAACCAAGAGUUGUAGUAUGACCAGCAGGAGACAAUUGAAGGCUCCAUUGAUUUUGGUGACACUACAAUAUAUAAGAGUGAAGUUAUUGAAUUUAUUACGAAUAAAACAAUACUAAAAUAAUGACAAAAUCUUAAAAUUCAGAUUUUGUAUUUAUUAUUAAACCAAGAGCUGUAGUAUGACCAGCAGGAGACAAUUGAAGGCCUCAAUGAUUUUGAUGACACUGCAGUAAAAAAGAGGGAAGUUAUUGAAUUUUAUUGCAAAUAAAAGAAUAUUAAAAUCAUGAAAAUUCCUUAAAAUUCAGAUUUUUUGAUUUAGUUUCAAACCAAGAGUUGUAGUAUGAGCAGCAGGAGACAAUUGAAUGCUUCAAUGAUUUUGGUGACACUGCAGUAAACAAGAAUGAAGUUAUUUAAUUUAUUACUAAUAAAACAAUACUAAAAUAAUGACAAAAUCUUAAAAUUCAGAUUUUGUAUUUAUUAUGAAACCAAGAGUUGUAGUAUGAGCAGCAGGAGACAAUUGAAGGCUUCAAUGA